rnacentral:rRNA from 1 species
UACGGAGGGUGCAAGCGUUAUCCGGAUUCACUGGGUUUAAAGGGUGCGUAGGUGGGAAUGUAAGUCAGUGGUGAAAUCUCCGUGCUUAACACGGAAACUGCCAUUGAUACUAUGUUUUCUUGAAUUUUCUGGAGGUUAGCGGAAUAUGUCAUGUAGCGGUGAAAUGCUUAGAUAUGACAUAGAACACCGAUUGCGAAGGCAGCUAACUACAGGGAUAUUGACACUGAGGCACGAAAGCGUGGGGAUCAAACAGG